rnacentral:misc_RNA from 1 species
CAACCAUCAAGCACUGCUUGGUAUUGGAUGCAACUUGUAAGUGCAUCUUAAAAACAUUGGCGGCAGCAUUUAGCUUCUAGCGUAGUAAAUUUCUCGCUCUGGAGCUUAGAUUCCUGCCUGCCAGAACUAUUAUUUCAAA